rnacentral:rRNA from 1 species
UACAGAGGGUGCGAGCGUUGUUCGGAAUUAUUGGGCGUAAAGCGCUUGUAGGCGGCACGUCAAGUCGCGUGUGAAAUCCCCAGGCUUAACCUGGGAAGUGCGCGCGAAACUGACGAGCUUGAGUGCCGGAGAGGGUCGCGGAAUUCCCGGUGUAGAGGUGAAAUUCGUAGAUAUUCGGAAGAACACCAGUGGCGAAGGCGACUGACUGGACAAGUAUUGACGCUGAGGUGCGAAAGCGUGGGGAGCAAACAGG